AUUGAACGCUGGCGGCAGGCCUAACACAUGCAAGUCGAGCGGAUGAAGGGAGCUUGCUCCUGGAUUCAGCGGCGGACGGGUGAGUAAUGCCUAGGAAUCUGCCUGGUAGUGGGGGAUAACGUCCGGAAACGGGCGCUAAUACCGCAUACGUCCUGAGGGAGAAAGUGGGGGAUCUUUGGACCUCACGCUAUCAGAUGAGCCUAGGUCGGAUUAGCUAGUUGGUGGGGUAAAGGCCUACCAAGGCGACGAUCCGUAACUGGUCUGAGAGGAUGAUCAGUCACACUGGAACUGAGACACGGUCCAGACUCCUACGGGAGGCAGCAGUGGGGAAUAUUGGACAAUGGGCGAAAGCCUGAUCCAGCCAGGCCGCGUGUGUGAAGAAGGUCUUCGGAUUGUAAAGCACUUUAAGUUGGGAGGAAGGGCAGUAAGUUAAUACCUUGCUGUUUUGACGUUACCAACAGAAUAAGCACCGGCUAACUUCGUG
rnacentral:rRNA from 1 species